UGUGUGACAUUGGGACAAGUUACUUAACUUC
rnacentral:piRNA from 1 species